CUGUCUUGCGGGGCUGCAGCGUUUGUUCUUUGCCAUGUUAUGGAAAAAUGUUAGUACCUCACACUAUGCUAUUCGGCUACUAAAAGGUUUUAAAAGUGUUGUGAAAUUUGUCUGCGCUCAUUAUUUCUUCAACUUGAUUUUUUAGGUCCAUGCGAUGUAGCAAGGGCUGCCCAGCACACCAGAGAGUGGCACCUUAGACCAUGCCACUCAGCUACAGAAAUGACCUUGCCAUGCCAGGGACGAACACCUUACACUACACUACUCAGCAACAGGGCCAUACGGUGCAGAGAGGACCUGCCCACGCCGGCAAUUGUCACCUUACAGUAUGCCACACAAUUACAGGGCCAUGAAAAGACAGCUGCAAGAUGACACAAAGCAAGAUGGUUUCCCAAUGCGUAAAGAUUGAACACCAACCUCCGAGAUGUAUCAGAAGAAAGCGCCUGUAUGGAUAGGACACGAGUGUAGUAAUAAAACCAUAUUGCCAAUAUAAAUUGGCUCAGGGUCGUCCUUUGACUGGUUACAACAUAUCCAGGCAAGAAUAGAACGGAUUUAGGCAUGCGGCAUCUGAAUAUCCAAAACUGGUCUGCAGAACAAAAUUGCACGUACGUCGGACAUCCGCAAUGGGAUCCCCAUUGCGGAUGUCCGACGGACGUGCA